GUUUUAACCCUCCUUCCCCCAAAAAAUUUCCCCAAAUUCAAAAAUCCCACCCCCUCUAAAAUCCCUAACCCCAAUCUCUCAAACCCCUCAUCCCCAAUUUUUCACCCAACGCCAAAUAUUUCAUCCCAAAAAAUUCUGACCGCACGCUCUCUGAUCCGCCUCCACCUCCCUCAUCUUCGCCUUCCCCUCAUCUUCGACGGCCAACGCACCUCCGCCUCAUCUUUGGUGGCGCUCUCUCUCCUCAACUGCCUCCAUCGAUUCACCGCAUCCUUGUCCUGCUCCAUCGAUUCGUCGGCGCUCUUGCUUCCUUCUCUCAAACCCUAGCGGCUCCCCAGAGCAUCGGUGGACCCAGCGGCGGGUCCCAGCUUCGAUCUCUUCGAUUCGCGGCAUCAAUAAUGCAGGAACACUCCUCAUGAAUCCAGCCGUAGGCUACACCAUCGAAGAUUACUCGGCCCUGGUGUCCGCCAACUUCGAGUCUGGUUUUAGCAUCAGCCAACUAGCCCACCCUCUCCUCAAGGCGUCAGGAGCUGGUAGCAUUGUUCAGAUGUCUUCGGUGUCCGCCGUCAGGGCUACGCCAUAUUCUGCACUCUUGUUAUGCAUAUAAAGGGGCAAUGAACCAGCUUACGAAGAAUCUAGCUUGUGAAUGGGCAAAGGAUAAUAUUCGAACCAAUUGCGUUGCUCCGGGUCUGACCAGAACUCCACUUAUACAAUCUGUACGCUCCCUUAAAUUGAGAAAUCUACACAACUACUUGAAAGUUUAAAAGAGUAAAUUUCACACAACUCCCUGAAUUCAUGAACUUUUGUUCUCCUUUUGGUCUGUUAGGAUUCAAACUAAUUAAGGGAAUAGUUCUGUGCGUCUAUAUGCUUUUAGUUGCAUGUAUAUUACAAUUAUUUACGAUUUAGCAGAACAUCUUCAUCUCAAUCGAAUUGUUUAGCCUUAAAAAUAUUUUCUGGGAUUGGAGCAGGUGAGACCUGAAAAUGUUAUAGAAAGAAAUGAUAUUCUACUUCAUUCACACUUUUAAUAUAAUUAUUGAAACAUUUAUCUUUUUUCUGUUGUUAUUUUUUUUCAGAAAUGAUAUAUAAUUGAUUGAACUUUGAUUUUGAGAUUCUCGAUUGUGUUAGACAUGCAAUCUUGAAGUUUUAUUCUUUUCUAUUCAAGGUGAGAGAACUAUCAGUUAUAUAUCUUCUUGUUCGUAAUAGAUUAUAUCGCUCCAUUGUUGAAUACUAAAUUACAAAUAGUAGAAGCAGCUCAUAUAUUAUUAAUAUCAUAUAUACGCUAACAAAAAAUUAACAUAGACACCCCUGAGCAUCAACUUUAAAUUAUUCACCAGGUUGAAAAUUUACUUUGUCAUAAUAUCUGUUGAAUUGGGGUUAUCUAGCUCGUGCAUGUGGAAUGUCUAGGUGGGCCAUGGACAUCCCCGCCAUUGAAUGGAUCAUCCACUAUUCCCUUUGGGAAUUCUCUUUGUGCAUGCUUGGAUUCACCAGAUAUAUGCUAACCCAACUAAAAAUACAUGUUAAGACAUCACAUGAAACUGACAUUGAGUAGUAUGGUCCUUUCACAGCCCCUCUUGAAUCAAAAUUGUGAUCAUCUUUAGCAGAUAAUUUAAUGGAGUAAGCACCUUUCUGCUGGCCUUCAGAAGAUAAUGUUACAAUAUUUGGCUUGUUCACUUUAGCUCAUGUUCUCAAGUGUUGCCUGAUAUUCCCAGAGAAUUCUAUGACUUACAUAUGAAUCUCAGUUUUCGAAGAUAUUUUGCAGGAAGCCCAGUGUGUAUUGAGACUAUCAUAUCAAGAGGCAAUUGGAUGCUUGGCUUUCGUGGGGAAGCUUAUUUUUUCUACUAACAAGUUUGAGAUGCGGGAAAAUGCACUAGAACAUGCUGUAUGUAUGGAACGUGUUUGAUAGGCUUCAUAAAAGGAGAGGAUGAAGAUGAAGUUUUCUUAAACAAUUAGCAGUUGUGUUUUAUAUGUCAUUAAUUAGUAAUGGUAAUUCAGUGUUGUAGUUGUUACUUGUAAUAAUAUUUUUCGAUAUUGUGAAUAUAUGAUGAAUAUUGUUCGAUAUUGUGGAUUGAUGGAUGAGUAUUCAUUUGGAAAGUGAAUGUAUAUCAUGGUUGAUUUUAUGAUA